rnacentral:misc_RNA from 1 species
GAUGAAGAACGCAGCGAAAUGCGAUAAGUAAUGUGAAUUGCAGAAUUCAGUGAGUCAUCGAAUCUUUGAACGCACAUUGCGCCCGCCAGUAUUCUGGCGGGCAUGCCUGUCUGAGCGUCAUUUCAACCCUCAUGCCCCUAGGGCGUGGUGUUGGGGAUCGGCCAAAGCCCGCGAGGGACGGCCGGCCCCUAAAUCUAGUGGCGGACCCGUCGUGGCCUCCUCUGCGAAGUAGUGAUAUUCCGCAUCGGAGAGCGACGAGCCCCUGCCGUUAAACCCCCAACUUUCCAAGGUUGACCUCAGAUCAGGUAGGAAUACCCGCUGAACUUAAGCAUAUCAAUAAGCGGAGGA